rnacentral:rRNA from 1 species
GAAAUUUCCUUCGGGAAAUGGAUUAGCGGCGGACGGGUGAGUAACACGUGGGUAACCUGCCUCAUAGUGGGGGAUAGCCUUCCGAAAGGGAGAUUAAUACCGCAUAACAUCAUUAGAUGGCAUCAUUUAGUGAUCAAAGGAUUUAUUCGCUAUGAGAUGGACCCGCGUCGCAUUAGCUAGUUGGUAGGGUAAUGGCUUACCAAGGCGACGAUGCGUAGCCGACCUGAGAGGGUGAUCGGCCACAUUGGGACUGAGACACGGCCCAGACUCCUACGGGAGGCAGCAGUGGGGAAUAUUGCACAAUGGGGGAAACCCUGAUGCAGCAACGCCGCGUGAGUGAUGACGGUCUUCGGAUUGUAAAGCUCUGUCUUUGGGGAC